rnacentral:lncRNA from 1 species
GGCAAGAGGUCAAAUUGGAGCUGUAGCUGCCGGCCUUUACCACAGCCACGGCAAUGUCAGAUCCAAGCUGCAUCUGUGACCUAUGCCGUAGCUUGUAGCAAUGCUUGGAUCCUUAACCCACUGAUGCAGACCAGGGAUUGAACCUGCAUCCUCAUGGACACUAGCUGGGUUUGUUACUAGUGAGCCACAACAGGAGCUCCUAUCAGCUUAUUUUGCACCUGUACCAGCUGAUAUUUUUGCCAGCUUCUUUACCUAGAUGAAUUCACAAGGAUGACAGAACAUUCAGGAGCUCUGGCCUUCAGCUUUACAGAUAUUUAAAAUAUUUUUCCAUCUCCUCCCUUCAGUCACUGAAGUUGGGGCUUCAAUGCUUUGAAGAAUAAGUAUUUCUGUAUAAACACUACUUCUUCCUGAUAAUUUGGCCAUAGCCAGUGACUUAUCUGAAAUCAUAUUUCUUUGACUGCUUAGCCCCUCGACACAGAAGAAAAGAGUACAGUCAAUAAUAUUUGAUCUGGAGUUCCUGUCAUGGUGCAGUGGAAACGAUUCUGGCUAGGAACCAUGAGGUUAUAGGUUCGAUCCCUGGCCUCACUCAGUGGGUUAAGGAUCCAGUGUUGCCGUGAGCUGUGGUGUAGGGUUGAAAACGCAGCUUGGAUCUCGUAUUGCUGUGUGUGUGGUGUAGGCUGGCAGCUGUAGCUCUGAUUCCACCCCUAACCUGGGAAUUUUCAUAUGCCAUGGGUGUAGCCCUAAAAAAGCAAAAAUAAAAAAAAGUAAAUAUAGUAGAAGACAUAUUUCCAAUGCCCAUGAAAACUUCUUCAAGAUAUACUGACAUACAAACCUACUUAUAUUAUUCAAUACUCAUGACAACAUGCAAAGAGGGACCUGGGAGAAGGAAGAAGUACCAGAGAAAUUAAAUCAAUAAAUCUUUCCUCCAAGCUUAACCUACUGCCCCCAGGAAUAGAUCAAUACAUCGAUGGAUCUUUAUUUGAAUGGAUUUAGCUAUUCUUGUAUUGUCACAGGGAAAAAAAUCUCACUAAAAUGCCCUACUAAUCUUUUCUUCUAAGAUUUAGAAAUCUUUGGGCCUGUCUAGCAUAUGUUUUAAUUUUCCUAGCCAAGUAAGCAAGGGGCUCUAUGUAAGGCUAGAAUAAAACAGUUUAGAGAUGCCACAUCCCUUUGUCUCUUGCAAAUAUCACUGAAAGGAGGGUAGAAAGAUUGAUUCUUUCAAUAUCUUAGUGCAGCACAAGAAAAUCUAGGCUUUGAGGACUGGAUGUAAGCUGACAUGGACUAUUAGUUAAAGAAGUAUUCUGAUGAACCUUAAUUAACCCAAUUAGAUGAGAGGAAUGAGGCUAUUUGUACCAUCAAGUUGUUGACGAUGGAUUCAAGUACAUAAGAUGCUCUACGAGGGCAGGGAAAGUCUUCUUUUUCCACCAGCACAGGGCACAAAGCUUGGUACAAAGCAGAUUUAAUAAAUAUUUGUUGCAUGAAUAAAAAAUUAGCAUGAGAAAGCAGCAAGAGGACUUGGAUUCUGGUCCCAGCUCAGUCAAUAUUAUCCUAGAGGCCUUGAGCAACAUAUCUUUCCAGGCCUUGAUUUCUUUAUAAAAAAAACUGAACAAAGUAGGCAUGUAAAUUGGUACAGCCACUAUGGAAAACAGUACAAAGGUUCCUCAAAAAGCUAAAAAUAGAGUUGCCAUAUGAUCCAGCAAUUCCACUCCUGGGCAUCUAUUCAGACAAAACUAUAAUUCAAAAAGAUACAUGCAGCCCUAUGUUC